UUGAGGAGCAAUGGUUGCGAGAGAGAAAUGUGGGGACUUUUGGUCUUUGAGAUAUGUCUUGGCCUAGGUACUGCCAUGUAAUAAGUGUUCUGUGUUAAUACUGGGGAUAACGUUCUUUGCUCAGUCCGUCCCUAGCCGAGGUGGCCGCACAGUACCGACAGGUUGGGUAGCUGGCACGGCGAAGCCGUGUCCAAGGUUACCUCUCCCUUUUUUGGUGCAGUUACAAGAUAUUUGUCCUUCUUGGCGUGCUCCAAGCAGUGCAGAUCUUUUGGCGUCAAUGACGUCUGGGUUUUCGGAUCGACCUCCAUCGCCUUCUCCAAGGCAGUGGAUGAUCCAGAGCCAAGUGCCGAGACGUGCAUCUCGAGCCCUAGUGUUCUGUUCAACUUUGGGCCCUCUGGCACUGCGGUCUUCGAUGAUGAUGGAGCAGCACUGGCUGCAGCCACCGAGGGGGCGUUUGGAGUUUCUACAGGAAUACUGGACGGGGACCCUGUAGACUCCUGGAACCAGUGUGGCGCUGCCCCCGGGUGGAUCACACUGGCAUAGCUUACUUCAGAUGGAUGGUCAUUGGCACUACACUUCGCGCACAUGUUUCUUUUCCUCUACAUGAUUGUGAUGCAUGCCCAAACCUCUGGCACUUGAAGCACUGCCUCGGGUUCAGUAUGUAUGGUCGGACAUUGAUUUUCAGGUAUCCUGCAUUGAGUCAUGUGGGCACAGUACUAGAACCAAAUUCACUGAGAAGAACGCUCAAGCGCUGCACGAUGCCGGUUUCCUACUGUCAGCUUCGCCGCAAUGCACCUAUGUUACGCGGUGAAGCAUACCAAGAGAUUAAAGGGGCUGCUGUCACGCGUGAUACUCUCGGCGCUCGCCGCCACGUCUCCUGUCACAAUGCAAAUGCAGAGGCGCCUAAUAAAUGUGCUGACAGGUCUUCCGAGAUAUUUCGCACGUGGCUGUGGUGAUUUGAGCGCUUGUCUCGCCCGUCUACAGUACGCCAAAGAUCGUAACGGGAAUUAGGUACGCGUUGCUUUUACGUAUACAAGCGCGCAUGCGCCUCAGAAUGACUACGGAUCUGUACCGAGUAGUCAUCAGUGUUACAGCUUUCACAAGGGUUUAUAUGAGGCUAUGAAAUGUUACAUGGCGAUGUCCAUGUUUUUGUGGUUCGGCAUACAGGAUACGAAAUGUGUUUCAAUUCAUCGAAGCGUUUUGGUAAACAUCGGCGCAGCGUAAUGCUUUGCCCACGACCUACUGUAUUACUUUAUACAGUAGGUCGUGGCUUUGCCAGUGUUGCUGUACAGACGGCACAAUGGCCUACGGCUUAUAAAGUGCUCAGCGACGUUCAAUUUUCUUACUUUUACAUACAGUUUAACUCAAACUGCAUCCAUU